GAUGAACGCUGGCGGCGUGCCUAAUACAUGCAAGUCGAGCGAACGGACGAGAAGCUUGCUUCUCUGAUGUUAGCGGCGGACGGGUGAGUAACACGUGGAUAACCUACCUAUAAGACUGGGAUAACUUCGGGAAACCGGAGCUAAUACCGGAUAAUAUUAUGAACCGCAUGGUUCAAAAGUGAAAGACGGUCUUGCUGUCACGUAUAGAUGGAUCCGCGCUGCAUUAGCUAGUUGGUAAGGUAACGGCUUACCAAGGCAACGAUGCAUAGCCGACCUGAUAGGGUGAUGAGCCAGCUGGUGACGGAACCUCGGUCCAUAUUCGUAAGGGAGGCAGAAGUGAGGAAUCUUCCGCUAUGGGCGCAAGCAUAAAAGAGCAACGACGCGUAAGUGAUGAAGUGCUUCGGAUCGUAAAACUCUGUUAUUGGGGAAGAACAUAUGUGUAAGUAACUGUGCACAUCUUGUCGGUAGCUGAUCAGAAAGCCACGGAGCACAACGUG
rnacentral:rRNA from 1 species